CACGGAGUUAGCCGAUCCUUAUUCCUUCGGUACAUUCAGCUCAAUACACGUAAUGAGGUUUAUUCCCGAAUAAAAAGCAGUUUACGACCCAGAGGGCUGUCUUCCUGCACGCGGCAUGGCUGGUUCAGAGUUGCCUCCAUUGACCAAUAUUCCUUACUGCUGCCUCCCGUAGGAGUCUGGUCCGUGUCUCAGUACCAGUGUGGGGGGUCAUCCUCUCAGAUCCCCUAGACAUCGUGGUCUUGGUGGGCCGUUACCCCGCCAACUAACUAAUGUCACGCAUGCCCAUCUUAAUCCUAUAAAUAUUUGAUCAUUGUACAAUGCUGUACUGUGAUUUUAUGCGGUGUUAAUCCGAAUUUCUUCGGGCUAUCCCCCUGAUUAAGGUAGGUUGCAUACGCGUUACGCACCCGUGCGCCACUUUCGAAGAAUGCAAGCAUUCUUCUAUCGUUCGACUUGCAUGUAUUAGGCCUGCCGCUAGCGUUUCAUCCUGA
rnacentral:rRNA from 1 species